CAUAUGGAUUUUCAGAGUGGUUGUACAAGCUUGCAAUCCCACCAGCAAUGGACUGGAGUCUAGUAUGGCUGUCCUCUAAGAGGCUUCACCCAGCAGCUGACUCAGAGAGAUGCAGACACCCACACACGAACAGUGAAUGCAGUUUGGGGACUUUUUUCAAAGAGUAAUGGGAAGAAUUCAGGGCACUAAAGGAAUAGAAAAUUCGCAGGAAACCCAACAGAGUCAACUUACAUUUGGAACUUUGGAUCUCUCAGAGACUGAAUCAUCAACCAAUGAGCAUACAUGGACUGGACCCCGGUCUCCCCACACAAUAUGUAGCAGAUGUGCAACUUGGUCUUCAGUGUGUUCCGAAAAAAUGGAGAUGGGGCUAUCCCAAAAACUAUUGCCUGGUCAUGGGAUAUGUUCUUCUUGCUGGAUUUCCUUAUUUAGUGUCAGUAGGUGAAUAUUCAAUAAGCCAGGCAAAGAGUUGAUGUGCCAGGUUGAUGGGAUAUUCAAGGAAGCCCCACCUUCUCAGAGGAAAAGGGGAGGGGUAAUAGUGUAAGGAUUAGGGGAAGGGGUGAUCUGGUGACAGCAGUGAGCGGGAUGUAGAGUGAAAAAAUAAUAAUAAAAUAAAUGUGUAAUU
rnacentral:lncRNA from 1 species